rnacentral:lncRNA from 1 species
GGGGGGAACAGUUUGAGUGAGGAUACAUCCAAUAUGUCUUGGGCAAGCCUGUGCUGAAACACUAGGGGAUAAGGAGGGGAUCCCUGUUGAGAAAGAGGACACUGGCUUCUCUUUGUGGUCGAAGAGCUUGAAAGGAGAGUGAAUUGAGUAUAAUUCACUAAAUGAAUGAAUCCCCUACUUGGAAAGUACAGUGUGAAAGGAGGCAAGCCUCACCUAGCUGGGAUUCAGUCCUGUUUAGGCUCUGUUGUCAGAGCAACACAGGAAUGUUUGGUAACAAAGUCAAUGACCUCACAAAGCUCAAGGGCAAACUGGAGCCAGAGUGGGAGAGGACCUGAGGGUAGAGGAAGACCACCAUCAGACCUUGUCUUGGGAGAGCUCUUAUCACUCCAAGUCACUACUGAGACCAACAGAACAGCCUAUGCCAUACUUGAGAGGAAACUGAGCCUAUGUCAAGAGGAUAAACAUGAGGCAGUUUCUGAUCAACAACUGCCUUCUGCUAUUAUACCUGACCAUCUUGAUUUGUUGCUACCCCUACAUGGAAUCUGCUGUCCAUUCGCCACCGCCAAGCUUUGACACAGGUUUCAAAGAGAGAGUGGCCCGAAAGCCACUCCUGAGACAGAUCCUGUCUCUCAAGACUGGUGAGUAUGCCUUUUAUACUGACCAGAACUAUGGUACAGCCCAAAAAGUCCUGAGUGAGUCU